GUGGCGCACGGGUGCGUAACGCGUGGGAAUCUGCCCUUGGGUUCGGAAUAACAGUGAGAAAUUGCUGCUAAUACCGGAUGAUGUCUUCGGACCAAAGAUUUAUCGCCCAGGGAUGAGCCCGCGUAGGAUUAGGUAGUUGGUGGGGUAAUGGCCUACCAAGCCGACGAUCCUUAGCUGGUCUGAGAGGAUGAUCAGCCACACUGGGACUGAGACACGGCCCAGACUCCUACGGGAGGCAGCAGUGGGGAAUAUUGGACAAUGGGCGAAAGCCUGAUCCAGCAAUGCCGCGUGAGUGAUGAAGGCCUUAGGGUUGUAAAGCUCUUUUACCAGGGAUGAUAAUGACAGUACCUGGAGAAUAAGCUCCGGCUAACUCCGUGCCAGCAGCCGCGGUAAUACGGAGGGAGCUAGCGUUGUUCGGAAUUACUGGGCGUAAAGCGCGCGUAGGCGGUUACUCAAGUCAGAGGUGAAAGCCCGGGGCUCAACCCCGGAACUGCCUUUGAAACUAGGUGACUAGAAUCUUGGAGAGGUCAGUGG
rnacentral:rRNA from 1 species